rfam:Dipodomys ordii contig_33039, whole genome shotgun sequence.
UGGCUCAGUGGUAGAGUGCUUGCCUUUCAUGCAUGAGGCCCUGGGUUCAAUUCCUCAG